GCUUCCUACGGGAGGCAGCAGUGGGGAAUAUUGGACAAUGGGCGCAGGCCUGAUCCAGCCAUGCCGCGUGUGUGAAGAAGGCCUUCGGGUUGUAAAGCACUUUUGUUCGGGAAGAAAAGCUACCGGUUAAUACCCGGGAGUCAUGACGGUACCGAAAGAAUAAGCACCGGCUAACUUCGUGCCAGCAGCCGCGGUAAUACGAAGGGUGCAAGCAUUACUCGGAAUUACUGGGCGUAAAGCGUGCGUAGGUGGUGCGUUAAGUCUGUCGUGAAAGCCCCGGGCUCAACCUGGGAAUGGCGAUGGAUACUGGCGCGCUAGAGUGCGGUAGAGGAGAGUGGAAUUCCCGGUGUAGCAGUGAAAUGCGUAGAGAUCGGGAGGAACAUCAGUUGCGAAGGCGGCUCUCUGGACCAACACUGACACUGAGGCACGAAAGCGUGGGGAGCAAACAGGAUUAGAUACCCUGGUAGUCCACGCCCUAAACGAUGCGAACUGGACGUUGGGAGCAACUAGGCUCUCAGUGUCGAAGCUAACGCGUUAAGUUCGCCGCCUGGGGAGUACGGUCGCAAGACUGAAACUC
rnacentral:rRNA from 1 species